AGAAAGAAAAAGAAAGAAAGAUAAAAAAAAGAUUGAAAACCCCGAUUUAUCUUCUAUUUGAAAAAAACAUCUGCAGAACAAAAUGAGCCUCUUGAUGCCGGAAUUGUCAUCAAUGAUGACUUUGACAAAAUGAGCAAUACAUAAUUUGCUAGCUCCCUUGCGAAGCUGAAACAGAUUGUCAAAUAAAACACUGGAGGAGAUGCAUAUGGGCUCCCACUAGAUAUUCUGAUUGCCUUCAACACCAAUGAGAUUAAAUGACAUUGUGAGCUUUUUGGGACCGAGGACAUUCUUCGAGUUUGGACAGAGGAUGACAUCCGAAGGCCUUACUUCUGACUGGAACCUUCAGAUGUGAGUAUGCUAUAAAUAACUAAUGAUGAUGUCAGCUUAGGGGCACUUAGCAAUGUGUAAGAUCAUGCAGCUCCUUCAGCAAUAGUUCUGUAUGUAAUCUCAGCCUUUUAGCAUAUUACCUCUAAAAGAACAUAACUUCCUCUGGAAGCUUCAUUUCCAUUUAACUAACCUUGUCCUUUUUUCAGAUGUACUCCUCUUGACAUGUGUAAAGGAAAUACCCCAAUGAAAACUUGUUCAGAAUCAUUAAUUACUUUUGAUCAGACUCCUUCCUCCAUACCUUGGUUAAUAGUGUAGAUUGAAAAAAAUAACAGCCAGAUCUGUUAUCCCAGCAAUUAUUGAGAAAUGAAAGUGACAAUUUGCUUACUUGCCUGAAAGAUCAAACAGUAAACCCCUAAUUUCAGUCACUUGGCACUGGAUUUUAUAUAUUGAAACUGGCAGGCACUUUAUGCAAUGUCCAAGCAGAAAUGACCUCAGGCUUUCAUGGACUACAGCACAAUAUUCUCAGAAUCACUCUGCCUACUGACUGGCUGGCUUUUAGAAGACUCCUUUUUUUUUUCUUUUUUUUGAGUCUGUGUUAACCAUACAUACAUGCAAUCAGAAAUAAAGUUUGAAACAAAAAAGUGA